AUAUUAAAGGGCCGCGGUAUUGUUGACCGUGCGAAGGUAGCAUAAUCAUUAGUCUUUUAAUUGGAGGCUUGUAUGAAUGGUUGGACAAAAAGUUAACUGUCUCGUUUAUAAAAAUUGAAUUUAACUUUUAAGUGAAAAGGCUUAAAUGAUACUGAGGGGACGAUAAGACCCUAUAAAGCUUUACAAUAAAUUAAUUAAAUUAUAAAUUAUUAGUUUAACUUAAUUUAAUUAGUGUUUGUUUCGUUGGGGCGACGAGAAUAUAAAUUAUAUAACUGUUCUUUUAGAUGAAUAUACAAGAUUAAUUGGAGGAAGAUUGAUCCUUUAAUAAAGAUUAAAAGAUUAAGUUACUUUAGGGAUAACAGCGUAAUCUUCUUUGAGAGUCCAUAUCGACAAGAAGGGUUGCGACCUCGAUGUUGAAUUAAGGUACCCUUAUGAUGCAGCA
rnacentral:rRNA from 1 species